GACGAACGCUGGCGGCAGGCUUAACACAUGCAAGUCGAACGCAUCCUUCGGGGUGAGUGGCAGACGGGUGAGUAACGCGUGGGAACGUGCCCUUCAGUUCGGGAUAACCCAGGGAAACUUGGGCUAAUACCGGAUACGUGCGAGAGCAGAAAGAUUUAUCGCUGAAGGAUCGGCCCGCGUCUGAUUAGCUAGUUGGUGGGGUAAUGGCCCACCAAGGCGACGAUCAGUAGCUGGUCUGAGAGGAUGAUCAGCCACAUUGGGACUGAGACACGGCCCGAACUCCUACGGGAGGCAGCAGUGGGGAAGAUUGGACAAUGGGCGCAAGCCUGAUCCAGCCAUGCCGCGUGAGUGAUGAAGGCCUUAGGGUUGUAAAGCUCUUUCGUCCGGGACGAUAAUGACGGUACCGGAAGAAGAAGCCCCGGCUAACUUCGUGCCAGCCGCCGCGGUAA
rnacentral:rRNA from 1 species